rnacentral:rRNA from 1 species
GUGGGGAAUAUUAGGCAAUGGGCGAAAGCCUGACCUAGCAACGCCGCGUGAAGGAAGAAGGCCUUCGGGUUGUAAACUUCUUUUAUGAGGGACGAAGGACGUGACGGUACCUCAUGAAUAAGCCACGGCUAACUACGUGCCAGCAGCCGCGGUAAUACGUAGGUGGCGAGCGUUAUCCGGAUUUAUUGGGUGUAAAGGGCGUGUAGGCGGGACAGCAAGUCAGAUGUGAAAACCAGAGGCUCAACCUCUGGCCUGCAUUUGAAACUGUUGUUCUUGAGUGUCGGAGAGGUAAUCGGAAUUCCGUGUGUAGCGGUGAAAUGCGUAGAUAUACGGAGGAACACCAGUGGCGAAGGCGGAUUACUGGACGAUAACUGACGCUGAGGCGCGAAAGCGUGGGGAGCAAACAGGAUUAGAUACCCGUGUAGUCC